AUGCAUCUUCUUGCUCCAGCAUUCAAGUUCCAUUUCAAGGGAGGACGACAUACCAUCAUACUUUCUGUUUUGUCGAGCCCUGCUUUGGUCUCUGGUUUGAUGGUUGUACGUGCUAAAAAUCCGGUACAUUCUGUUUUGUUUCCCAUCCUAGUCUUUUGCGACACUUCUGGUUUACUUAUUUUUUUAGGUCUUGACUUCUCCACUAUGAUCUCCCCAGUAGUUCAUAUAGGAGCUAUUGUCAUUUCAUUCCUAUUCGUGGUUAUGAUGUUCAAUAUUCAAAUAGCGGAGAUUCACGAAGAAGUAUUGCGCUAUUUACCAGUGACUGGUAUUAUUGGACUGAUCUUUUGGUGGGAAAUGUUCUUCAUUUUAGAUAAUGAAACCAUUCCAUUACUACCAACCCACAGAAAUACGACCUCUCUGAGAUAUACGGUUUAUGCCGGAAAGGUACGAAGUUGGACUAAUUUGGAAACAUUGGGCAAUUUGCUUUAUACCUACUAUUCCGUCUGGUUUUUGGUUUCUAGUCUGAUUUUAUUAGUAGCUAUGAUUGGGGCUAUAGUACUUACUAUGCAUAGGACUACAAGGGUGAAAAGACAGGAUGUAUUCCGACGAAAUGCCUUGGAUUCUAGGAGGAAUAUAAUGAACAGGACUAUUUCUCCUUUUGGCCAUAGCCAUAGAAGAAGCUUCUCCUCCAAAGCGGACGGAGGGGAAUCUCAGGAUUCCUAUAACCCUGCUUAUAUAGAUUUUUUAAGAUAA
rnacentral:rRNA from 1 species